rnacentral:rRNA from 1 species
CCCCUAGAUGUUCUGGGCCGCACGCGCGCUACACUGAACAGUUCAACAAGUCUUAACCUUGGCCGAUAGGUCUGGGUAAUCUUUGAACGCUGUUCGUGAUUGGGAUAGACCUUUGCAAUUAUGGGUCUUCAACGAGGAAUUCCUAGUAAACGCAAGUCAUCAGCUUGCAUUGAUUACGUCCCUGCCCUUUGUACACACCGCCCGUAGCACCUACCGAUUGAAUGGUCCGGUGAAAUCUCGGGACGGCGGCUUGGUCGCUUGCGUCCGACUGCUGAAACUUGAUUAAACCAUAUCAUUUAGAGGAAGGUGAAGUCGUAACA